AAGAACACAUCUUUACUGUCAUAGGUGAGGAAAGAGCAGAAUAACUAUGGGAAAAUCAAUAUGACCAAAUUUGUUACUGCCAUGGAGAAUAUUAAUAGAAUUACAAUAAAGAAAUGAAAAAUGACCUGAUGGAAAAGGCCUCUGCACCAUAGGUAUUUAACAUAAGGCAGGAUAAACCUUCCAAGUUACCUCUUUCCAUGGCUGAUUCAAGAAAUGGUGGAAGUUGAGAUAUUGAAGGUUCAUAUCUUGGGAAAACUCCUGUGGGCACAGGAAGCUCACAAAGAGUUUUCCCUCCCAAGGAGCCAAUGUGAUGAACACUCAAAGGGCAGAGAAGCACACCAAACUUCAUCACAGUUUCCCUCCUUGUCAUUUCCCAUUUCCCAAGGAGAUGAACUUCCCUAAAAGAGAAUUUCUGUUUAGCUCAAUUUUGGGUAAAAUAAAUGGUCUCUCCAGUUUAGCCUGUGUGAAAAUUCAGACGAUUGCCAACAUUUAACAGGACUCCUAGCAGUUAACAUUACCAAUACCCCAAGCUACUGGCUAAUAUUAAAUUCUGUACUAGACUGAUUUUUAUAUUACCAAGAGGCCAGAACUUGAUCAGCCAUUCCAGCUCUGAUAUUGUUAUUUUAUUCAGUAAUAGUUAGCUUAAAUACAUUCAACGUGUUUUUUCAACCUUGCUCAGAUCUUGUGCUUAUCUGAUGAUUUCAUAAUGAAAAUAGAUAUGCUGUACAUUCGAUACAAAAUGUGUAAUAAACCACAAUUCUCUCUUUCCAGAAAUUAAAAAAAAAAAUAAAAAAUCUGCUUCCAAUUAAUGUCAGUACAUUUGAUGGAUUUGGCACCACUACCUUAUGUUGAUCCUGGCAAAAUUUAGUCACAAAAAAAUGGGUUUAUAAACUGCAAUCAAUUAACUUUUCCUUGUACUGUUUAUUUACACUAUGGUAGUGUCUAGAAACUCUAAUCAAGACCAGAUUUGUAUUAAAAGAGAAUUAUAAGCAGAUUUGUAUUAAAAAACAGAUUUAUAUGAAAUAUUUCAGUUAAGUGAUUUUGUGUACUGAGUCAAUAGUUAAGUGCAAGAUUGAAAAGGAAAAAAGGAAGUAAAUUUGGGAAGUGAAGUCACACAGGAAACCUGUGGCCAAAAAAAGAAAGCUCUCUGUCUGAAAGUUUGAUGUAGUGUUUUAUCAACAGGGCUGUGCUCUUAAAUCAGUAGGGUAUCAGUUAAUGUUAUGUACAACCUGCAGUGAAAAUGCCCUAAUUUCAUCACUGUGCACAUCAUUUCCUAUCAGGCCUGCCCAGGAUGGAGCUUUCCUGGUUGGGUGCAGUGUCCUUGUUCUGCACAGGGUGCUCAGACACCUCUUUUCCUGCUCGGGUGACCUGCACACAGGAGCCCUCACCCAUG